UCGUGCUGUGCUGCAGUUCGUGCUCGGUUGGUGUGGGAAGUGAGGAUGGUCUCUAAAGUGAUCACGAUCCUUUCCACCCCGCGAAGCACGCACUGCAUUUUACAUAUGUU
ensembl:miRNA gga-mir-6607 gga-mir-6607